UAUGUAUUGAACCUGGAAUACCAGGAGUCAGCGUGUGCAACAUUGGAACUAAUUCAGAGGUUUUUUGUAAGGAUAAACCCUGAAGAGGGAACAAAAUGUACCUCCAAGGUUGGGACAAGCAGAAAGACUGGGACCACUGUGAAGCGAAAG